CCCUUAGAGUUUGAUCCUGGCUCAGGACGAACGCUGGCGGCAUGCCUAACACAUGCAAGUCGAACGGAGAUUAUUUCGAUAAUCUUAGUGGCGAACGGGUGAGUAACGCGUGGGCAACCUGCCCUCUAGAUGGGGACAACAUCCCGAAAGGGGUGCUAAUACCGAAUGUGACAGCAAUCUCGCAUGAGGAUGCUGUGAAAGAUGGCCUCUAUUUAUAAGCUAUCGCUAGAGGAUGGGCCUGCGUCUGAUUAGCUAGUUGGUGGGGUAACGGCCUACCAAGGCGAUGAUCAGUAGCCGGUCUGAGAGGAUGAACGGCCACAUUGGGACUGAGACACGGCCCAGACUCCUACGGGAGGCAGCAGUGGGGAAUCUUCCGCAAUGGGCGAAAGCCUGACGGAGCAAUGCCGCGUGAGUGAUGAAGGAAUUCGUUCCGUAAAGCUCUUUUGUUUAUGACGAAUGUGCAGAUUGUGAAU
rnacentral:rRNA from 1 species